rnacentral:snoRNA from 1 species
AGUCUCUUAGCUCAGCAUAGUUACACUUGGCAUCACCUGUGUGACUUUCUAAAUGGAAAGAGGGAGAAAAGAUCUCCUCAGAACCUUGGAACCCUGGAUUGGCUUUACAGUGGCCUUCCUUUACUUGAGGGGCACAACAGGU